AACGAACGCUGGCGGCAUGCCUAACACAUGCAAGUCGAACGAAGUCUUCGGACUUAGUGGCGCACGGGUGCGUAACGCGUGGGAAUCUGCCCUUGGGUGCGGAAUAACUUCUCGAAAGGGAUGCUAAUACCGCAUAAUGUCGUAAGACCAAAGAUUUAUCGCCCAAGGAUGAGCCCGCGUAAGAUUAGCUAGUUGGUGGGGUAAAAGCCUACCAAGGCGACGAUCUUUAGCUGGUCUGAGAGGAUGAUCAGCCACACUGGGACUGAGACACGGCCCAGACUCCUACGGGAGGCAGCAGUGGGGAAUAUUGGACAAUGGGCGAAAGCCUGAUCCAGCAAUGCCGCGUGAGUGAUGAAGGCCCUAGGGUUGUAAAGCUCUUUUACCAGGGAUGAUAAUGACAGUACCUGGAGAUAAGCUCCGGCUAACUCCGUGCCAGCAGCCGCGGUAAU
rnacentral:rRNA from 1 species